AACGGCCAUAUCAUGUUGAAUAUACCGGUUCUCGUUAGAUCACCAAAGUCAACCAUCAUUGGGUGCGGUCAGUACUUGGGUGGGUGACCACCUGGGAACACCGCGUGCCGUU
rnacentral:rRNA from 1 species